rnacentral:rRNA from 1 species
GACGAACCGUGCGAACGUUGUUCGGAAUCACUGGGCUUAAAGGGCGCGUAGGCGGGCCAGCGAGUCCGGGGUGAAAGCUUCCGGCUCAACCGGAAAAUUGCCUGGGAUACCGCUGGGCUGGAGGGAGGUAGGGGCGCGCGGAACUUCCGGUGGAGCGGUGAAAUGUGUUGAGAUCGGAAGGAACGCCGGCGGCGAAAGCGGCGCGCUGGACCUUCUCUGACGCUGAGGCGCGAAAGCCAGGGGAGCGAACGGG